GAUUAUUCGCCUGCAAGAUCCCAGUGCCAUCAAGAUCGAGGUGGCCACAUAUGCCACUUGGUACCCCGACUUCAGGAGGUGUCCAUCUUCCCUGCAAAAGAAGCCAAAGGACAAGUGGCACCUAAGCUUCCCCUUAGUGAUGUCUCACGCCUGGCUCCCCAAAAUCAGUUGAUGGAGCAAGAUACAAAGAAGUCUAAGUUGAAAUAAAGUAUCGUUUAAGAACUGCAACUUUGUGAGCCAUAGUAAACUAUACAUGUUUUCAAAAG
rnacentral:lncRNA from 1 species